GAAUCUUGCGCAAUGGGCGAAAGCCUGACGCAGCGACGCCGCGUGAGGGAGGAAGGCCUUCGGGUUGUAAACCUCUUUCAGGAGGGACGAAGCUACUCGGGUUAAUAGCCCAGAGGGUGACGGUACCUCCAGAAGAAGCCCCGGCUAACUACGUGCCAGCAGCCGCGGUAAUACGUAGGGGGCAAGCGUUGUCCGGAUUUACUGGGCGUAAAGCGCGUGUAGGCGGCCGCACAGGUCCGUUGUGAAAACUGGAGGCUUAACCUCCAGACGUCGACGGAAACCGUGUGGCUAGAGUCCGGAAGAGGAGAGUGGAAUUCCUGGUGUAGCGGUGAAAUGCGCAGAUAUCAGGAAGAACACCAAUGGCGAAGGCAGCUCUCUGGGACGGUACUGACGCUGAGACGCGAAAGCGUGGGGAGCGAACAGG
rnacentral:rRNA from 1 species